CAAUCCCUUCUGUUGUGUAAGGCAAACUGAUCACCUUUCACAACGAGACAAGAAGUGAUUUAAAUCAGAUGGUGACCCAAUGACAAUGUCUGUGCUGUGUCCUAUGGAGAAAACCAAAGCUGAAAUCCAGUAACAGGUGAUAGGAAGAUGUGGAGAUAGAAACUGACCUGAAUUCUGAAAAACAACAAGAGAAAAGGAAGUCUGAGAACAAGCUGGUGUUCUUCCAAAACCUGUUCAUUGUGUGAAUUCCUAGAAGAUAGCGUGACACCGAGAAACAGGCUGGAGUGACACACCCAAACAAUUAUGCUACCUGGAUCUGCCAAGGCAGGAGGACAAACUCAGCAGCCUGGAGAAUGGAGGACACAGUCCAGAGUUGCAACAACAGCAGCAAUUACUUUUGACCACUCACUAUCGGAAAACACUGCUUUAGGCUGUGGAAAUGCAGUAGUAGAAAAGCCAGGCAUAAUCCUUAUCCCCAUGGAGGCACUAUCUCCAUCCAAGGGCAGAGGACCUGCAAGCCCUGAGGUCUCCAGCUGAGGUUCCUCUCUGAAGGACAGUUGCACUUCAGGUCAUGCUGCAGUAUGAGAGAAGGCAGCGUGACAUCUUGAGUUUCUAAUGCUCACACCUGUCUCAGUGAAGCAUUUUUACAGAGUAAUCACCACCCCCCUCACACCCCCAACAAUGUC
rnacentral:lncRNA from 1 species